GACGAACGCUGGCGGCGUGCUUAACACAUGCAAGUCGAACGGAAAGGCCCUGCUUUUGUGGGGUGCUCGAGUGGCGAACGGGUGAGUAACACGUGAGUAACCUGCCCUUGACUUUGGGAUAACUUCAGAAAACUGGGGCUAAUACCGGAUAGGAGCUCCUGCUGCAUGGUGGGGGUUGGAAAGUUUCGGCGGUUGGGGAUGGACUCGCGGCUUAUCAGCUUGUUGGUGGGGUAGUGGCUUACCAAGGCUUUGACGGGUAGCCGGCCUGAGAGGGUGACCGGCCACAUUGGGACUGAGAUACGGCCCAGACUCCUACGGGAGGCAGCAGUGGGGAAUAUUGCACAAUGGGCGGGAGCCUGAUGCAGCAACGCCGCGUGCGGGAUGACGGCCUUCGGGUUGUAAACCGCUUUCGCCUGUGACGAAGCGUGAGUGACGGUAAUGGGUAAAGAAGCACCGGCUAACUACGUG
rnacentral:rRNA from 1 species